UACAGAGGUCCCAAGCGUUUGUUCGGAUUCACUGGGCGUAAAGGGUGCGUAGGCGGUCGGGUAAGUCUGAUGUGAAAUCUCACAGCUUAACUGUGAAACUGCAUUGGAUACUAUCCGGCUAGAGGAAUGGAGGGGAGACUGGAAUACUUGGUGUAGCAGUGAAAUGCGUAGAUAUCAAGUGGAACACCAGUGGCGAAGGCGAGUCUCUGGACAUUUCCUGACGCUGAGGCACGAAAGCCAGGGGAGCAAACGGG
rnacentral:rRNA from 1 species